UACGGAGGAUGCGAGCGUUGUCCGGAUUUAUUGGGUUUAAAGGGUGCGUAGGCGGAUCGUUAAGUCAGUGGUCAAAUUGAGGGGCUCAACCCCUUCCCGCCAUUGAAACUGGCGCUCUUGAGUGGAAGAGAAGUAUGCGGAAUGCGUGGUGUAGCGGUGAAAUGCAUAGAUAUCACGCAGAACCCCGAUUGCGAAGGCAGCAUGCCGGCUUCCGACUGACGCUGAAGCACGAAAGCGUGGGGAUCGAACAGG
rnacentral:rRNA from 1 species